AUUGGUCAAUGGAGGGAACUCUGAUCCAGCCAUGCCGCGUGCAGGAAGAAUGUCCUAUGGACUGUAAACUGCUUUUGUACGGAAAGAACCGGGGGCACGUGUGCCCCCCUGACGGUACCGUAAGAAUAAGGAUCGGCUAACUCCGUGCCAGCAGCCGCGGUAAUACGGAGGAUCCGAGCGUUAUCCGGAAUCAUUGGGUUUAAAGGGUCCGUAGGCGGGCCGUUAAGUCAGGGGUGAAAGUCUGCGGCUCAACCGUAGAAUUGCCCUUGAUACUGAUGGCCUUGAGUUAUGGUGAAGCAGCCAGAAUAUGUGGUGUAGCGGUGAAAUGCAUAGAUAUCACAUGGAAUACCGAUUGCGAAGGCAGGCUGCUAACCAUAUACUGACGCUGAUGGACGAAAGCGUGGGUAGC
rnacentral:rRNA from 1 species